AGUGAACGCUGGCGGUAGGCCUAACACAUGCAAGUCGAACGGCAGCACAGGAGAGCUUGCUCUCUGGGUGGCGAGUGGCGGACGGGUGAGGAAUACAUCGGAAUCUACUCUGUCGUGGGGGAUAACGUAGGGAAACUUACGCUAAUACCGCAUACGACCUACGGGUGAAAGCAGGGGGCCUUCGGGCCUUGCGCGAUUGAAUGAGCCGGUGUCGGAUUAGCUAGUUGGCGGGGUAAAGGCCAACCAAGGCGACGAUCCGUAGCUGGUCUGAGAGGAUGAUCAGCCACACUGGAACUGAGACACGGUCCAGACUCCUACGGGAGGCAGCAGUGGGGAAUAUUGGACAAUGGGCGCAAGCCUGAUCCAGCCAUACCGCGUGGGUGAAGAAGGCCUUCGGGUUGUAAAGCCCUUUUGUUGGGAAAGAAAUCCAGCUGGCUAAUACCCGGUUGGGAUGACGGUACCCAAAGAAUAAGCACCGGCUAACUUCGUGCCAGCCGCCGCAGUAA
rnacentral:rRNA from 1 species